rnacentral:lncRNA from 1 species
GAGGUGCAGCGACUGGUGGUGGUGGAGGUAGGAGCUUGUGCCCAAAUCAACGCCUGCCAUCUCCUAGGGUAGGAGAAGAGCUAAUUAUAAGUAAGUAAGGAGUAUAGUAGCAAUAAGGGAGUAAAAAUAAUGGCUAGAUAACAGUACCGAUAUUAUUAAUAAUUCGAUAUGCGAGGGAAGAUGUAGUGAUAGUGAUGAUGAUGAUGAUGAUGAGACGAUAAGAUGAGGAGAAGAUCGAAGAAGAGGAGAGGAGAGGAGAAGAGUGUAUGUGUGUGUAGUGUAGUGUCUCUUUGUGUGUUUCUUUAGGGUUUCUGUGGUUCUUGUUUUCUUGGAGGAGAGUAAACAAUGGUUUUUGGGGGGUGUGGGUGAGAAGAAAAAGGAGGUGAUGGAGGUUUAAUUUGGUGAAUUUUCUAAGCUUGUUUAUGCUGAUGGUGCUUGCUCAUGUGGAUUUGUGGUGUUAUUUUGUGAGCUAAAAUAUUUUUUUUGAAAGGGGAAAGGAGGAGGCUAGCUAGCUAGGAGGUGCACUGAAAAGGCAAAAGAUGGGACAAUGGUGGUGUGCAGGAUGGAGGAGGAGAGGAGAAGAUUGAAAACCAAUGAGAGAGAGAGAGGAUGGAGAAGAGAUCAAGGAAGAGGAAGGAGAGAGGAAGUGAUGGCAAAGAGAUAUGAGAAAGGGAUAGGUUAGUGGUCUU